CCUACGGGAGGCAGCAGUGGGGAAUCUUGCGCAAUGGGCGGAAGACUGACGCAGCAACGCCGCGUGGGGGAUGACGGCCUUCGGGUUGUAAACCUCUUUCGGCACUGACGAAGCCGCUUCACGUGGUGGGGUGGUGACGGUAGGUGUGGAAGAAGCACCGGCUGACUACGUGCCAGCAGCCGCGGUAAUACGUAGGGUGCGAGCGUUGUCCGGAUUUAUUGGGCGUAAAGAGCUCGUAGGCGGUUUGUCGCGUCGGGCGUGAAAACCUGCCGCUUAACGGUGGGCGUGCGGUCGAUACGGGCAGACUUGAGUUCGGCAGGGGAGACUGGAAUUCCUGGUGUAGCGGUGAAAUGCGCAGAUAUCAGGAGGAACACCGGUGGCGAAGGCGGGUCUCUGGGCCGGUACUGACGCUGAGGAGCGAAAGCGUGGGGAGCGAACAGGAUUAGAUACCCUGGUAGUCCACGCCGUAAACGUUGGGCGCUAGGUGUGGGGACUGGUUCCACGGUGUCCGUGCCGUAGCUAACGCAUUAAGCGCCCCGCCUGGGGAGUACGGCCGCAAGGCUAAAACUCAAAUGAAUUGACGGGG
rnacentral:rRNA from 1 species